rnacentral:lncRNA from 1 species
UCCAGCUGGCUGCAUGGCUGCUCAAGCCCCGGUGUCAGUGUGAGAGAGGCAGCUGUGUCAAAGCACAAAUUUGGGGAGGGCUGGCCGGCCCCUUUGGCAGGUGCAGGCACAAGGCAUCAGCAUGAGCUGGGCUGGCGUUGGUGGAAACGUGGGUCUGGCUCGCUGCACCGCCCGCCUCACUUCUGUGCCUCCUGGGGGAAAAGCUGCCUGCCUCGGUGGUUUCCAGUGUCAAGUACUCGUGUGAUUAGGGAUUUGCUGACAGAGCCGUGAAGUUGCCAGAGAUCCUCCCUGUGGCCUGAACCGAUGCCCCCGGGGAGCCCCGCACUGAGAGCCACAGACCUCCGGGUGUGACGCAGGUGCGUGAGAAGCACAGGGAAUGCGACUCCCUAUUGAUUUUACAUUAAUGUUUGACACUUAGAGUGGGGGUCAUAUUCUGGUGGCAAUUACCCUCAAGACAUGCACCAUUGUAUGAAAUAAAUGUCAGUGCUUACCCUCUGUAGAGCCGGCA